UAUACAAUGUCAGCUUUAUUGACAAUUUAAUUAUUAUUUAAAUUAAAUUGUUUGGUUUACAACUGUAAACAAUCAAUUUUCAAUAUUUUAGAAAUCUUACAAAGAAUUACGUCGUCUAUAGCACCCUUAAUAUUGCUGUGUUUCGAAAACUAUCGAUUACACUGUUUACCAAAUGGAGUAACCGAAUACAAGUAGUCAAUUACUCACGAAGUGUUUGGCACUAGUAGAAACUAAUCAAAACAAAGAAAAUUAAGUGAAAAAAGGCAAAAUUAAACAAAUAAAUUAAAAAAUAUAUGUAAAUUUGCCGAAUUGUAAUAUUUGUUUACAAUUAGUUUCACUCGCGAAUGUAUAAUAAAAUUUGUUUUCGCGGAUUAGUGUGGUGCUAUGAAUAUACAAUAACAACAAGUGAAAUAACUGACAAAGCAAAAGCGGAAUAAGAAAAGGCAAACUUAAUUUAUAUGUAAUAAUUAAGUUUGUGUUAUCUUGCCGCAAAAUCAAGCCAAAACGAUUCACAAAAUAUAUAUAAAUUGAAAUAUCAAGCGUAUAUGGAUAAUUUGUGUUAGGAUUCACACAAAUUAUGUCCAACGCUGUUACCUGUGAAUCAGAAUCACUCUCCUGAUUGUUGUGUUUGCUCCUGCAUAGACGGCAAUCGCAGCGACGGGGCAUCUGGAUUUGAUGACAGCAGCAGGUUUUUUGAUGGGGAGUGUUUAUUUUAUUUAUUUAAUUUAAUUGUUUUUUAAUAUUGUCUUCUUCUUCUUCCUUGUAGUAUUUUAACAAGGCUGUUUUGCACAAAAUUAACAAAACACACCGACACUUUAUACUCCCGGGUUUCGGCACCAAAAUAUUCACCUUUAUUUUAAGGGAAUUAUUAUAAUUUUUAAUUAUAAAAUUAAUUUAUUUAUAAUUUUUAAAUAUUGUUAUUUUUUAUGGACUGCGAGAAGAAAGACGCGUAUCGUUGGCGGUAUAAUUCACAACAAUGACUUUAUUAUUAUUCUUUCUCAUUAUCCUAUUCUUCUACAUCUAACUUAA